GUGCUCACCUUGGCAGCAGAUAUACUAAAAUUAGAACGAUACUGGGAAGAUUAGCAUUGCCCCUGCACAAAGAUAACACAAAUUCAUGACGGAAAAAAAAUGGUGUG